GCCGGGUAUGGUGGUGCGUGCCUGUAAUCCCAGCUACUCGGGAGGCUGAGGCAGGAGAAUCACUUGAGCCCGGCAGGUGGAGGUUGCAGUGACCAGAGAUCAUGCCACUGCACUCCAGUCUGGGUGACAGAGUGAGACCCUGUCUCAA
rnacentral:SRP_RNA from 1 species